rnacentral:rRNA from 1 species
AUUGAACGCUGGCGGCAGGCCUAACACAUGCAAGUCGAGCGGAUGAAGGGAGCUUGCUCCUGGAUUCAGCGGCGGACGGGUGAGUAAUGCCUAGGAAUCUGCUUGGUAGUGGGGGAUAACGUCCGGAAACGGGCGCUAAUACUGCAUACGUCCUGAGGGAGAAAGUGGGGGAUCUUCGGACCUCACGCUAUCAGAUGAGCCUAGGUCGGAUUAGCUAGUUGGUGGGGUAAAGGCCUACCAAGGCGACGAUCCGUAACUGGUCUGAGAGGAUGAUCAGUCACACUGGAACUGAGACACGGUCCAGACUCCUACGGGAGGCAGCAGUGGGGAAUAUUAGGCAAUGGGCGAAAGCCUGAUCCAGCCAUGCCGCGUGUGUGAAGAAGGUCUUCGGAUUGUAAAGCACUUUUAGUUGGGAGGAAGGGCAGUAAGUUGAUACCUUGCUGUUUUGACGUUACCAACAGAAUAAGCACCGGCUAACUUCGUG